GGUGAUGUAGCUCAGCUGGUAGAGCAUCGGACUGAAAAUCCGUGAGUCGGUGGUUCGAGUCCACUCAUCACCA
rnacentral:tRNA from 6 species